rnacentral:rRNA from 1 species
CUGCAACUCGCUGUAUGAAGUCGGAAUUGCUAGUAAUCGCGGAUCAGCAUGCCGCGGUGAAUACGUUCCCGGGCCUUGUACACACCGCCCGUCACACCAUGAGAGCCGGGAACACCCGAAGUCCGUAGUCUAACCGCAAGGAGGACGCGGCCGAAGGUGGGUUUGGUAAUUGGGGUGAAGUCGUAACAAGGUACC